AAGGUGUCCAAAGCGUUCCACAGGGAUGCUGGUCCAUGUUGACUCUACAAGGUGUUGAAAGCGUUCCACAGGGAUGCUGGUCCAUGUUGACUCUACAAGGUGUCUAAAGCGUUCCACAGGGAUGCUGGCCCAUGUUGUCUCUACAAGGUGUCCAAAGCGUUCCACAGGGAUGCUGGCCCAUGUUGACUCUACAAGGUGUCCAAAAGCGUUCCACAGGGAUGCUGGUCCAUGUUGUCUCUACAAGGUGUCGAAAGCGUUCCACAGGGAUGCUGGUCCAUGUUGACUC